AAAUUGAAGAGUUUGAUCAUGGCUCAGAUUGAACGCUGGCGGCAGGCCUAACACAUGCAAGUCGAGCGGAAACGAGUUAUCUGAACCUUCGGGGAACGAUAACGGCGUCGAGCGGCGGACGGGUGAGUAAUGCCUAGGAAAUUGCCCUGAUGUGGGGGAUAACCAUUGGAAACGAUGGCUAAUACCGCAUGAUGCCUACGGGCCAAAGAGGGGGACCUUCGGGCCUCUCGCGUCAGGAUAUGCCUAGGUGGGAUUAGCUAGUUGGUGAGGUAAGGGCUCACCAAGGCGACGAUCCCUAGCUGGUCUGAGAGGAUGAUCAGCCACACUGGAACUGAGACACGGUCCAGACUCCUACGGGAGGCAGCAGUGGGGAAUAUUGCACAAUGGGCGCAAGCCUGAUGCAGCCAUGCCGCGUGUGUGAAGAAGGCCUUCGGGUUGUAAAGCACUUUCAGUCGUGAGGAAGGUGGUAGUGUUAAUAGCACUAUCAUUUGACGUUAGCGACA
rnacentral:rRNA from 1 species